UUAAACUCUAAACCCUAAAACAUCAACUCUAAACCCCAAACCUUCAACUUUAAACCCUAAACCCUCAGCUUUAAACCCUAAAUCAUAUAUUUUCUGAAGUUCAAACCUUAAUCCUAAAACCAUAGAGUUUAGGGUUUUAGGGUUUAGAGUUGAGAGGUGGGAUAGAGUUUAGGGUUUAGAGUUGAUAUUUUAGGGUUUAGAGUUGAUGUUCUAGGGUUUAGAGUUUAGAUUUGAUGGUUUAGGAUUUAGGGUUUAGAGACGAGGUUUAAAGGUUUAGGGUUCAAAUUUCGAAAAAUAGGGUUUAAGUUUAGUGUUUGGGUUUAGAGUUAAUGGUUUAGGGUUUAGAGUUAAUGAUUUAGGGUUUAGAGUUGAGUUUUAGGGUUUAGAGUUGAUGGUUUAGGGUUUAGAGUUUAGAGAUGAGGUUUUAGGGUUUAAGGUUCGAAUUUUGAAAAAAAUUAGGGUUUAGGUUUAGGAUUUCGAGUUAAUGGUUUAAGGUUUAGAGUUAAGUUUUAGGGUUUAGGAUUCAAAUUUAAAAAUUGUAUAAUUCAAAAAAUUAAAAAUUUAUUUUUUAUUUUUAAAUUAUUUUUAUUUAUUUUUAAUUUUUAUCUAUUUAUUAUAUAUAUAUAACAAUGGUAUAAGAGUCUUUUAUCUUCUAAUG
rnacentral:lncRNA from 1 species